rnacentral:rRNA from 1 species
CUGCCCAAUGAAAUUUUAAAUGGCCGCAGUAUCUUGACUGUGCAAAGGUAGCAUAAUAAAUAGUCUUUUAAAUGAAGACUGGAAUGAAUGAGAGGAUGAAAUUUAAACUGUCUCAAAUUAAAAAAUAAAAAUUUAUUUUAAGUAAAAAAUCUUAAAUGAUUUUAAGGGACGAGAAGACCCUAUAGAAUUUAAAAAUUUUUAAAAUUAUGAAGUAUAAGAAUUAAAAUUUAUAAUUAAAGAAAAUUUUUUUAUUGGGAGGAUAUUAAAAUUUAAAAAACUUUUAAAAUUUAAAAACAUUUAUUUAUGAAUUUAAUAUUAUAAGUUUAUAAAAUAAAUAAAAUUACCUUAGGGAUAACAGCGUAAUAAAUUUUUAGAGUUCAUAUUAAAAAAUUUGAUUGCGACCUCGAUGUUGAAUUAAAAUAAAAUUUAGGUGUAGGAGCUUAAUAUUU